CAGUCGCCGCGGUAAUACGUGGGGUGCGAGCGUUAAUCGGAAUUACUGGGCGUAAAGCGUGCGCAGGCGGUUCGUUAAGACAGAUGUGAAAUCCCCGGGCUUAACCUGGGAAUGGCAGUGGAUACUGGCUCGCUAGAGUGUGUCAGAGGAUGGUGGAAUUCCCGGUGUAGCGGUGAAAUGCGUAGAGAUCGGGAGGAACACCAGUGGCGAAGGCGGCCAUCUGGGACAACACUGACGCUGAGGCACGAAAGCGUGGGGAGCAAACAGGAUUAGAUACCCCCGUAGUCCCUGUCUCUUAUAC
rnacentral:rRNA from 1 species